rnacentral:lncRNA from 1 species
AAUUGCAUCUUGACAAUGUUUUAUGUUCAAAUAAGCACACUUGUGUCUGCAUACCUGCCUCAUCCAAACACAAGUGUGCUAAACACACUCAGUGCAGUCCCUGAAUCGUUGCCCACACUGCAAUGGGAUCUGCCUGAUUGAAGGCAGACCCCGUUGAUGUUCCUUGCCUACCCAGUGUGAUCAUCUUCUCUGCCUUUGUCAGAUGCUAUGCUUGUGUGUAGUAGCAGAAGAGGGAGUAGGGGUACUCACAGGUUGCCCUAUGGUCGUAUCUGGCCAUCAGAAGAAGCUCAGUUGGAACUAGUGUAUAUGCUGUUGGAAAGGUCAGUGAUGCUGCCUCUUCAAAAUUAGCCCCUAGAUUUUUUUUUUUUAAAGAAUUAAACACACCCUCAACAUUCAUUUGAUUUGGGUAUGGUAGAUGAGAGUGUGCAGUGCUGGGGAUCAAACUGAAAUUCAGUCUACCUCUUAGACCCUCACAAUCCAGCAAUUCUGCUCCCAGGUAGUUAUUUAAUAGAAAUUAAAUCAUAGCCUAUGCAGCCUUGGAUAUAGAUCUUCAUAGGUUGCUUAUGUGUAGAGCCUGUCCCUGAAAGCCAUUCAGACAUCCAUCAGCAGCAAACUGUAGAUGCUCAAGGAUUAUCUAUAGAGGGAAGCACUCCUCACUAGGAAGUGUCACAUAGUUAAUGAACAAUCAAGGAAGAUUCAGAGGAACAGGGAAAGCUAGAUGCUUAGGAAUAACUUGCAUUAAAUUCUUGAACAACAAAAAUUAAUCUUUGAUAAGAGAAGUUGGUAAGCAGUUACGUGAGAGGGGAGUGAGGUUUACUGCAAAGAACUAAAGGACCUUCUCAGAACCAUGGAGAUGGCAUAUCUUGAUCAGAUGUUGGCUGCAUGGACAUUUGCAUUUUCAGCACUCAUUAAACCCUAAACAGAAAAUAGGUACAUCUUAUUGAAUACAAAUUACAGCAUAAUAACACUGAUUUUAAAAUGCUCCCUGUCAAUGUAUGAGGAAGACAAAGGUUUACAAGUUAUAGCCUGAUUAAUUUUUCUAGAGGAAUGAGAUGUGUUUUCCUCAGGCUUUAUUAUUUCAGAGGUAGUAAUGAGUGAAUGAAUCUCUUGUGGUGUUGAGUGGCUUAGUGCUUCUCUACUGUCGAUCCUUGUACAAGCCCACUAAUCAGGGUUAGUGAUUGUGGAGACCCACUCCUGUGACACCACUGCCAUGAAAGCCUUUCCACACAAAGGAGCCUAGCGAUCAGGGAGCUCUUUAGUUAUACUAACCUAUACCCAGCCAUUCACACUCAUCCCGGAGGAUCUCCAGGCUGCUCCAGUGCCAUGUUCUUCCAAUGUUGUGGUAACUUUGCAAAUGUAAAGUACUGGCCUCUUUCUUUCACAUCCUUUUGCAUUUACUUCUUAGACAGAGCCAAUCAACCUGGCUCUGCUUUUUAAGGGAAGUCUUUUUUUUUUUUUUUUCUUCACUACGGAGACAACCUUUCCUAUUAUUAAACUUCAUGAGGAAAAAACAACCAUAGCAAAGCUUCUGGCAGAGUCUACAGGUGCCAAGCUCAUAGUGGAACUGGGAUCUGGGAUAAAGUCAUGGCUUUUCAUUAAGAGGGAUUUUGGGUUUGUUUUGUUUCCACUGCAUAAAGACCAGAUGCCCAGUUUGACUUGUUAAAUGCUUGCUGGGACUGGAUUGGAUGCUCAAAGGGUUUCUGGCUGAAAUUAAGUGAUGUCUAUUAACUUUAAUUGCAUGUUGAAUGGUCUUUAGCAUGAGUUAUUUAUUCUUUCUGAGCAAAGGAAAAGAUGACUCAUUUGAGCCUCAUUAUUUCAAAAUCUGGAGUCACAUUGAGUUGGAACCAACCCAUGCACCAGCUUCACAAACAAGAAAACAACCCAAAAAUAUUUCUAAGAGUUUGUUAAAGGAAAUUAGUUUCAUAAUAGGCUAAGCUGCUGUUCUACUAAAAAUUCUUCUGGUGGGACAUUUGCCUCUAUGUUUACAUUUACACAUGUAUAUUAAAAGAUGUAUUGUAAAUGAAUAAUGUACAAAUAUAGAGGGCCAAAAUAUCUUGUAGAUACUUUAAUCUGAUUCUGAUUAUGUAUAAAAACUAUAUUUAACAGUGAAAUUGCUUCUAUAUGAUAAAGUCUAAUGGUCAAAACAUUUGUGUUUUUCUUAAAAUGAGACAUUCAGAGUAUCCAAAUGAGGGCUUCUGCAGUGGCUGUUCGUUGUACUUUCUUUGUCUCUGUGGUCUUUCAUCACCAGUGUGUGACUUUCAGUCUCAUGAUUGCCAGAUAACAUCUAUAUUUCUCAGUCUCAUGCAAAAGGUCCACCCAUUAAGGCACUCUUCUUGGAAUUUUCUUUGGGAGGGGUGCUGGAGAAAGAGCUUAGCAGUUAAGAGCAAUUAUUGCUUAACUGCUCUUACACAAGAUUUGAAUUUGGUUCCUCGAACCUACAUAUAUCUACUUAUAUAUCUACCUAUAAUCUAUUUCCAGAGGAUAAAACGAUCUCUUCUGACCUCUAGGACUUUUGUAUGCACAUGGUACACAUAUAGAUACCCAGGCAUGCGUGUGCUCAUACACACACACACACACACACACACACACACACACACACACUAAAUAAAUGUUUUUAAAAGUUUUGUGUUUGUUUUGUUGUUGUUGUUGUUUUUUUGAGACAGGGUUUCUCUGUGUAGCCCUGGCUGUCCUGGAACUCACUCUGUAGACCACGCUAGCCUCGAACUCAGAAAUUCGCCAGCCUCUGCCUCCUAAGAGUUGGGAUUAAAGGUGUGCACCACCACACCUGGCUUUU